ACACCCUACUUAAGUACUUACUUCAUGCAUGAGUAUAUUAUUAUAUAAAAGUUUAAUUAUAUAAAACAAAACGCAUCAAUUAUAGGUACUUGAUGCUAUCCUUGCCCCAAUAUUGUGCGUCAUGUAUGCGUGCGCAAAAACAGGAUAUGCUCAGCAAUUUCUACGACUUAAACCUCGAGAGGUUAGCGUCGCAGCGCUGAUUUUCAGCACAUCCCUGGGUGACGUAAUGGCGUCCCGCCAGCUUCACUAUUCGCCAGCGAUCAUGAAUGCAAUGCAACGAAUGACCAAGUAGCCGGCAUAACCUGUAAAAUACAGAUAUACCUAUAUUGAACAUAAAUGAUGGGGGAGGCUGCAGCCACGAACGAACCUGUUGGAUACCUGUGCCUCACCAUGUUGGAAGGCCGCGACCCUUGAGGUCUCGCAUUGGUGGUGGCAGGUUGUUCCAACAGUGAGUCGCAGCAUAUUUGAAGCUCCCCCUGAAGGCCGCCGUUCUGUGCUGAGGGAUGGAUAGUGGAUUUAUAUAUAUAUAGAAGUAUAUAUAUUUAACAUAACUGCUCGUUUCGUUAUGUUAUGAAACUCAUUUAUAAGAAAGUGAGUCCAUUGCCAUAUACAGACCACAACUAUAGUCUUAAUAAAUUAAAAAGAAACAAUAUUACAUAAUCGUCAGCCUUUAAUUAUCUAACUAACGAUCUGGGUAACAUUGUCUUCUCAUAUGGAGAACCCAUAAGCUCUGAUUACCAUGCUGGACUAAGGAGGAUAUUGUAUACUAUCUUAUAAUAACAAGUAGCGCAGUCAGACUGCUUAUCUGAAUAGAAAAAUAUAAUUCAUCGACUUAUCGUAAAGUUUCAGGAAAAUGUAUAAGUUAGGUCUAUAUUUAACAUAUAGUUUAUUCUAUCUAA